GUGUAUGAAACGAGCCAGUCACUUAUAUAUUAGCUAAGUAAUGUUGAAGUUAUUGAACUCACGAGUGUGACAUACUCUUGACUCCAUUCGACAAAACAUGCCCUAGAGCAAGUAGUUGCGUUUGGAAGACACUUUUUUUUUUUUUUAUGUAUAUGAAGUGAUCUUUUGCUCACCAAGCUCAAGCUGAAGUCGGCAAAUCCAUCUCUUCCGCCACCGACUUCAAUUUGAAUUCGGCGCAUACUCUGUCCCCCACUCCGAGAUCACGAAACUCGCCAAAGAGACCUGUUGCGCCGCCGAUUUCAGCAAAAGUCGAGGUAUCACGGCACCGACUUCUAGGAACUGAUCAGCAAACUGUUUAAAAAGCGACACACACACAACUUCGUCGCAAAAUCGGCGGAUCGAGCAACGCUCUCCUCCCUCACGCGAAUACUCCCUCUCCAAAAUCUCAAAUCGCUUAGGAUGUGACCCUUGAUGCUAAGGAAUCAUAUACUAAUGAUGAUAAAUAUGGGCUGCAGCCGCAUGGGGACAAAUAUAUUGCUUGUGUGGUUUCUGGUCCACAAGGACUAUAAACAGAAGCUGAAUCCACAUCCACAUAUACCAGGCGAAAUUAAGAAAUGUCUCCUUACGCUUACCCCUUGUAUCAAUAACCCUCCUAUAUUAAAAAGUGUGCCGAUUAUCGUCCUAUAUUUUGCUAUUAUUUCAAACCGGUCCAGCUAUUUUGGAUGAUCAAGUAAUAUGGUAGAAUCAUAUAAAUUGAUUGAAAUUGCUCAAUAAACUAUCAUGUCUAUUCUUUGAGUUGCAAAUUAAAUAGAUAUUAAGAUACAAAACAAUGUGAUCUAUUAGGGAUGGUGACUUAAGUGUGGUACAGUAAUUGACGCAAAUUGUAACGAAGUUUUUUUUUUUUUUUUUUUGGUAUAUGAUUUAGCCUUCAUUUUAUGUUUACCGGUAAAGAUGUGCAAAACCAUAGAGUGUAUUUUGAGGAGAGGGUUUAAGAAGAGUUUGCUUAUAAGAAUAGCAUUAUUAUUAAAGCCUAAUCGCCCUCUUCCAUAGGUCGAUUUGGCCGGCGAAGAGGUGGUAAUUAUUAUUUUUUUGUUUCUAUCUCUACACAAUUUUCUCUUUGUUUUUCCUUUUCUUUUCUGAUUUUUCUUCGUUGUCUUCUCCGUUCCUAGGAACCUUUCUUUCUCAUACAUUUGUUACCACCCUCUCAUAUCUAACCACAAAUUAAAUUGAAAAAUAUUGGGUUUGAUAAGUAAUGUGUUUAUAAGUUCUAACCUUAAAUAAGUGUGAAUGUAGUUGGCAUUUUAUAGAGAUGUGUUAUUUCUGAUUCCAACCAAACAAACAAAGCAAAUAAAAAUUUGAAAUUUUUGCAUUCAUGGUGUUACAUAAAGAUUUCAAACACUUACUAGGCCCAAUUGCAAAGGCCAAAAUAGUAAGCAUUUCUUAAAUGGGCUAGAGCCUUUGCUGAGCCUAUCACACUUGCUAACCCAACUCCUAUAAUGGCUCUCUACUUCUCUUUUUCUUUUUUCUUUUUUUCUUUUUUCUUUUUUUCCUUUUUUGGGGAGAAUAGUAGGACGUUAUUAUUUCGUUCUUUUUUUAAAAAAAAAAUUAGCUAAAAAUAUAAAAUAACUAAACUUCAAAUUUGAAACCUCCAAUAUCAACCAUUAAGUCUAGUUUUAACUUAGAUCUUUGAGAUUAAACCUGUGAUUUAGAAAACUUUGGCGUUAAGGUUGUGAGAUCAAUUUUUUGACUUCGACGGAGCAAGUGAAGUGAAAUUGGCGAAACUCAUAUAUUCUUCACUCUCCGACUUUCCACUUCUAAAUAGCUUCUAACUCUCAGAUAGAAACUGAUAAGUUGGUGUCUAAAUUGGGCCACUAAUUUUUUUUUUUUUCCUUUUAAAAAAAAAGAAUUUUGUAAUAUUGAGAAAAUUCAGAAGAAGGUGUUUUGUGCUUGUACCAUGUAGGAUGCAUCAUAAGAAUUAGAAAAAAUAACAACAAAACCAAAAAAAAAAAAAAAGAAAGAACAAUCAAUAAACUAUUUGUUGGAUAUUUGGAAGCCCACCAAAUAGCCAAACCGAAAAAAUGGUGGUUUUUAAUUCACUAUAUAAGUCUAGUUUUGUAAAUAAAAUUGUUAUGGAAUUAUUUUUAUAAUUAUAAUAUUUUUUUAAGUCUAUUAAUAUAUUUUCUUUUAUAUCAUCUCUUCUUUUACGGGAACACAAUCAUUUUAGUUUACUCGAAACAAAGAAUGUUAUAAAGUCAAAGUCAAUAAAUGUUAGAUUCAAUUUUAGCUGUUUGACAUGAAAUUAUAUCAUACGUGAGUGUUCACAAACUAAAUUAUUUU